GGGGUACUAGCUCAAAUGGUAGAGCGCUCGCUUAGCAUGCGAGAGGUACUGGGAUCGAGGCCCAGUACUCCA
rnacentral:tRNA from 1 species